UACGUAGGGUGCAAGCGUUAUCCGGAAUUAUUGGGCGUAAAGAGCUCGUAGGCGGUUUGUCGCGUCUGCUGUGAAAACUGGAGGCUCAACCUCCAGCUGUCAGUCGGUACGGGCGAAACUAGAGUGCGGUAGGGGAGAUUGGAAUUCCUGGUGUAGCGGUGGAAUGCGCAGAUAUCAGGAGGAACACCGAUGGCGAAGGCAGAUCUCUGGGCCGUAACUGACGCUGAGGAGCGAAAGCAUGGGGAGCGAACAGG
rnacentral:rRNA from 1 species